rnacentral:rRNA from 1 species
UACGUAGGGUGCAAGCGUUAAUCGGAAUUACUGGGCGUAAAGCGUGCGCAGGCGGCUAUGCAAGACAGAUGUGAAAUCCCCGGGCUCAACCUGGGAACUGCAUUUGUGACUGCAUGGCUAGAGUACGGUAGAGGGGGAUGGAAUUCCGCGUGUAGCAGUGAAAUGCGUAGAGAUGUGGAGGAAUACCGAUGGCGAAGGCAGCCCCCUGGGAUAACACUGACGCUCAUGCACGAAAGCGUGGGGAGCAAACAGG